GGCCUUAUGGUCUAGUCGUAUGAUUCUCCCUUUGGGUGUCUCCAAGGACAACUGAUUGGGAGAGGUCUCGGGUUCAAUUCCCGAUGAGGCCC